CGCUGAGACACUGGUUUCCAUAGAAUCACUGAAGUUAAGCCACGUCUAGUCUGGUCAGUACUUAGAUGGGUGUCCGUUUGAGAAUAUCAGGUGCUGUAAG